rnacentral:rRNA from 17 species
UUGACCUCGGAUCAGGUAGGAAUACCCGCUGA